CAUGUUUGCUUCCCCUUCUGCCGUUAUUGCAAAUUCCCUGAGACCUCCCCAGCCAUGCAGAACUGUUAGUCAAUUAAGCCUCAUUCCAUUAUAAAUUGCCCAGUUUCAGGCAGUUCUUCACAGCAGCAUGAAAAGGGACUAAUACAAUACUCUUAUAUGAUGAAAGUAGUUGAAACAGCAAGUUCUCUCCUUUCCGAAUAUAUGUCCUGAGACUAAACUUCUUUGAUUUCUCCAUGGAGGGGAUAGGACAUUGGGCCGAUCUCAUUGCUCCCAGCCUAGCAGGCAUCAGAACCUUAGAAGCCAUGAUUUCACUCAGUGAGUCACUGUCACAUUGGCACAUCCUAUUCCCUGUUGAUGGUGCCACCUUUUACACAAAGGCACUCAGCACAUCCUGCACUGGCAAUGAGAUGAGUCUCCCUGGCUGCCCCUUCCUCUAUGCGACCUCACAAUGAUUGCAUUGGAAGGAUUAUGACAGCAACUUCCUGCAGUCCCAUGGUGCCCAACAAAUUGAGGGUGACUCAGUGCCUCAGACAAGGAGGUAAAUGUUUCUUUUCAAUGAUUAUAAUCGUCACUCUUUCCUGUCCCCUCCUCCCCACAGUUGCUGAUACUAUAUUCCAUUAUGUUUAUAAAAAUAUUAAGGGACAUUAGUAUAAGGUGAUUAGGAUAAUAUUUAGUUACUAUUAUAAUAUAUUCUGUUUGAAAUACUAUAACUUAAGAUGUUCCAGACAUUGCACCACAGACUUUAUACAUUGUGGUGGACAAAACAUGGCCAGAAAUUUAUCAACAUUUCUGCAAUUCAGAGGAUACUGAGGCACUGUGAGGUUCACUGAAAGCUGGACUGUGAGGAAGAUUCGGGCCGUCGGACUCCAGACCCCAAGCUCUAACAUACUAUAUGGAGAAAUUAAGGCAUUGAAAAGUCACUUGCCCCAGAUGACACAGCUAGUGGACAGUCGAGGAAAUGUGGGCUCUGGAGUUGAAUCACGAUCUAGAUUCAAAUCUUGGUCCUGCCAUUUGCUGGAGGGACAUGUUUAGGAGGGCAUCCCAGGAGAAGGCAGAGUCCAGGAGGCGGAUGUUGGGAAGCAAAUCCUGAACUCAUCAAGUCCCAUAGCCCCUUUGUCUAUGGACCUUCUGCCAGCAUCUUCUGUAAGGUUCUAGGUAAGAGAAAGGACUCCCCUUUUCUUGGAGUGCAGAGGCUGGAAGUUAAGAGGUAUAUUCGGCAGAGGCCAGACAGGUGAGUGAAAAUGACAUGUUUAAAGAACUGAAAGAAAGUAACUAUGGCUGAAACAUGACAGGAGAGAGGGGAUGCGGAGAGAAGAGAUUGGAGAGGUAAAUGUAGGUCCCAUAUGCAGGGUCUUCAAAGCAAAGGACACUGAGAACCCAUUGCAAGGUUUUGAGCAGAAGGUGGCAUAAUCAGAUUUGGGUUUUAGAAAGACUACUCUGGCUGCCUUGUGGGGAAGAAAAAAAUGUAUGUAUGGAAUGGGAUAGAGGAGGGGUACUUAAGUUUUAUUAUGUCUGAUGGCACAAUAAUUGAUCCAUCAUCUUGGGUUUAACCCAAGGGUAGUUGGGGAGGUAGGAGAGCAGGAGAAUGUAAUGUCAAAUAUGGCCAUCACUUACUGGCAUUGAGAAAUAUGAGGCAUAGUGCUCAAUAGAUAUUACAUGUGUUUCUUGUGGUGGGCCAACAGUCCCCACCUCCUGCUAUUCACACUCUUAUAUACUCCACUCUUUUUGAGGGUGGACUGGAUCUAGUGACUUCUUUCUAGUGAACAGAAUACAUCAAAAAUAAUGAGAUGUCGCUUCCACACUUGCGUUUAAAAAGACGGUGGCUUCCACCUUCUGGCAUUCUCUCUGUUGCUGUCACUUACUUGGUCUGAUGAAGCUCUCUAUGGAGAGGCCCACAUAGCAAGGAAUUGAGGGCAGCCUCCAGUGAUCAGCCAGAGACUACUGAAGGUUUCAGUCCAACAACCUAUGAGGAACUGAAUCCUGCCAGCAAUCAAUGACUGAGCCAGGAAAUGGAUCCAGCCCCAGUUGAGAGGACUAUGGCUCUAGCUGGCACCUUCCCUGUAGCCUGGGCAAGACCCUGAAACAGGAUUCAGGUAAGCUGUACCUGGCUUCCUGACCCACAGAAACUGAGAGAUCGGAAAUACGUGUUGUUUUAGGAUGCUAAGUUUUAGGGUAAUUUGUUACACAGCAACAUAGAACUAAGGCACUACUAUAUGAUGUCACAGAAGGCAAGAGAGGUACAGUAUUGAGAAGAGAAAGUGACUAGCAUUGUCACAUGUGACAGGGAGAUCAAAGAUAACCCAGGAUGGUAAGGAACGAGAAAGCAUUGAGUCUGGCAAGUAGGCAGGUAGCAUGAUUUGCAAGGAAGCAGUGAGAGUACGCUAGGUGGGCUGGAGUAGAAAAGGCUUGCCUUGGCAGGGAGCACCUGUUUAUUUGUCAAGGAUGUCCUGGCCAGCCUGUCCUCCUAGAGACCCCACAUUAUGCCCCAUGCUUCAGGGAGGGGCUGCAUUUACUCAGGAGUAGACUACUUAGAGAAGCCAAGCUCACAGGACCUCAAGACCACACAGGAAGCAACAGGUGAUAAGGGGAUUUGAAAUUAGGCGAACCAUCUUUCUGUCCCCUUGCUCUUGACCACUGUUUUACUGCCCUCUUUCAGUCUUUAACGAUUUCUUUAAUAACUCUUUCAUUUGUUGGCAUUUAUUGUGUGACAGGCACCGGGGAUUCAAAGGAAAGUAACUUAUAGAUGGCCCCUUCCCUGGGGAAGUUUACCACCCUUUGGGGACAGAUCACCAAAAUCCUCUUCCUUGCUGGCACCCAUUGAGCACUUCCUGUGAACCAGGCUCCGUGCUAAGCCCUGUACCUGGGAUAUCUUAUUUAAGCCUCAGAACUCUUAUCUCCAGAGUAAUGGUUCACCUAUCUCUUGCCCUGGGAGGCUGACACCUGUAGACUGCAUCUCACGCUCUCCUUGGCCAGCUAGCUUCAAGUUGAGUUCAGCUAGAAAACAACCCUGACAAGGAAAUGAGAAGCAAGCAGAGAUACUGGUGUGGAGGAGAGCUAGGUGUGGAUUUACAUGUCAGAAGAAAUAUCUUCUUCACCACUGAUCUGCAGCUCACCUGCAUCUGGGCAAGUGACCAAAAGCUUUGACAUUUUGCAGACCUGAGUCUGAAACUUGGCUAUACCCCUUAUUAUCAGGUUAUCCAAACUCUCAGCCUUUUUCGCAUCUUCAAAAUGAAAGGAAAUAAUUCCCCCUUCAUACUGUUAGGAAGUUUAGAUGAGAUGAAUGAUGUAAUACUUAAUUCUUUACCUGGGGCCUGAUACAUUGUAAACGCAUGGUGAAUGACCAGGUUAUUAUGUAAAUGGUGAACUUGAACUCUGUUUCUAAUAGACAGGUGACUUCUCAGGUAUCAAUCAUUGAAACAGAAAUUGAAGAAAUGAACUAUUUUACUCCUCUGCUCAAUGCAUUAGUUUUAAAUCUUACGGAAUUUCCUUUAUAAUAGGUUUAAAAAAAUUUCAAAGAUUAGUUCACAUAGUCCAAUCUACUGAUGAUUUUAUACUCAGAAAGUUACAUUCAACUCCAUCCUACAAACCAAGGAAAAUAUCAAGGACAAGAAUAAGUUGAUUAUGGUUUCCCUUGAAAGCCCAACAAACCACUAUAUUUGUUUGUUUUUUUUAAAGCAAUGGUAGGUACCAAUUUUAAAACUACUAAUUUACUUAUCCUUCUAACUUUCUAACUAGUAGUCUGAGUGUAAUAGGGCCAAAUGCUUAUUUAGACAGUUGAGAUAGAAACGUCCAAUAGUUUACUGACAGUUGUCCAAAUUAAUGUGUUUUAAUUAUUUUCAUUAUAAUUGAUCUAAGUUUUUGAUCCUAUUUUUAUAGAGACAUUUAAAAUCCUCCCUUAUUAAUUGCUUGCCUCAUCAUUGCGUACACUCUCAAGGUCACUCCGACAAAACCUGGGCAAUGAAGCAGAAUGAUGACUUUCUGUUUUAAGUUAGAGUCUUGUUUGUUUCUAAACAGUUUCUAAGUCCCCAGGGUUUGUUGUCUUAAAAAGUCAAAUUUGUCAUUGUCUCCAGACCUUGAGCUAUCUAAACAUGGAAACCCAAGUUCAUGGAUAGGGUAAUAGAAGAGCAAGCAGAAAUCUUGAUUUCCAGGCUUCCAGUUGCCACAUCAGCUCAUCUAGACAUCGGUUUAAGGGCAGAGUAAGGACAUUUGAGUCCAAAAAUUCCUUUAAUCCACUUUUAUUAUCUACUAAAUUCUUAACCUACAGUAUUUAACCCUCAGAAAAUUUCAUGAAAAUAUAUUCUAUUUUUUUAAGUUUCUUUUACCAAUGGGAAAAGUUAAACUCAAAGUAUUUAAAGCACCUUCCUGGAGUUCCCAGUCAGCUCAUAACCCUUAGGCUGAAUCUAGAACAUUGGUUCUCAGCCAGGGAUGAUUUUGCUCUCUCUUUCUAGGGGACACUUUGCACUGUCUGGAGACAUUUUUGGUUGCCACAAGUGGAGGAAGGUGCUACCGGUGACUAUGAGUAGUGGCUGCUAAACACCGUACAAGGAAUGCACAGGAUAAGUCCCUGUAGCAAACAAUCAGCCAGCCCAAAAUGUCUAGUGCCAGAGCUGAGAAACUAGAGUUCUGGUAGACAGAGCACUGUCUACCAGAACUUUCUGUGAUGAUGGAAAUGCUCUACUAGACACUUGAAAUGUGGCUAGUGUGACUGAAGAACUAUAAAUUUAUUUAAUUUUAAAUAACUUAAAUUGAAAUAGCCCCAUAUAUCCAGUGGGUAUUCUGCUGGACAAUAAAAGUGUUAUUUGAUAUAUUAUUACUUCCUCACCUAUACAAUGUUAUAAUCAUAACCAUUUUAUUAGGUUGUUCUAAGAACUGAGAUUAGUAGGUAUGCAAUAAGUUAUUAGCUGCUAUUUUAAAAUUUAAAUAAGUCCAUGUAUGCAUACUAAUUAUGCUGUUACAUAUUUAUAUUCUAUGUACAUAUACACAUGAAUGAAACAAUUUCCAAAGAAUGGUCUCAAAUAAUAACUGCAUGUUUUGA
rnacentral:lncRNA from 1 species